UACAGAGACUGCAAGCGUUAUUCGGAUUCACUGGGCGUAAAUGGUGCGCAGGCGGCCGUGUGUGUCAGGUGUGAAAGCCCGGGGCUUAACCCCGGAAUUGCGCCUGAAACUACAUGGCUAGAGCAUUGGAGAGGGUAGCGGAAUUCACGGUGUAGCAGUGAAAUGCGCAGAUAUCGUGAGGAACACCAGAGGCGAAGGCGGCUACCUGGACAAUUGCUGACGCUCAGGCACGAAAGCGUGGGGAGCAAAAGGG
rnacentral:rRNA from 1 species